UUGAGAGGGGUAUUCACCUAGACACUUGGAGGUAAGUUAAUCCUACCUAUGGUGAGUUAAAUACAUAGAUUAUGGGUAGAUUAUAACAUAUAAAUUGUGAAAAUCAAGAGUUUAGAUGAAAAACCUAGGUUUUGAUAAAAAUGAGAUUUUAACCACGAAAAUGGUUAUGGAAUGGGAUGCUGUAUAUUUGAGUUUUUAAGGUAAUGGGUGACGAUUUCCUUCAAAAAUUUUCGGAAUCCGGGCAUGUGGGUCCGGGGUUAAUUUUAGAAAUUUUACCAAUUUGGGUUGGUUAAUUAAUCUAAUAAUUUAAUUUUGAAUUAUUGAGCAUGUAUUGAUUAAACUAUAUGGCAUUUGGCUAGUUUCGGAUUUUUCGGCACCAAAUUGAGGCUUUAACGCAAAAUUACGAUUAGAAAAAUAGCUUUGAGACAAGGUAAGUCUCUUGUCUAACCUUGUAAGAGGCAAUUUACCCCAUAAGUGUUGAAAAUAAAUAUUUGUUCCUAAUUGUGGGGAUUACGUACGUACUAGGUGACGAGAGUCCGUACGUAGCUACUAUUAUGCUAUUGUUCGGAUAGUUUUAGGACCCGAUUCAUAAACUACUUGUAAUUCUACACUAUACUUGUUAAAUUAAAAUGCCUAAAUUAUAUUAGAACUUGUUAGAGAAAUUUUGAAAGGUAGUUAAUGAAAUUUGUAUUACCUUGGAUAUAAAUCAUUAAUAAUGUUUAAGUCAAAUGCUUAUAAAGAAUUCUCCUCUUCUUGUAGAGCGGGUUGAAUGCCUCGGCAGUAGAUAAAUAAAUCUAUGGUUCGUGUCGUUCGACCCUCGGUAGUGUACACACUAUUCUGGAUCAGGUCGUACGACCUCGGCAGAAAUCAUGCUUAAUAAUAAAAAAUUAUUCGGUGCUUUGAUAUUUAUUUUAUUGCGGCUUGUGAAGGUAAAUGAUUUAUUGGAAUUCAUUAAUUAUGAAAGAAUUACUUAUUUGUCCUUGUUAAGGAAUUAUUGCUAUUCAUAUAAACCAUGUUUAUUUAAAAAUCUUAUUCUUAAUAUUAUUGACCCAUAGUGAGUGUCGAAGUCGACCUCUCGUCACUGCUUCUUCGAGAUUAGGCUUGAUACUUACUGGGUACACGUUGUUUACGUACUCAUGCUAUGCUUGCUACAUGUUUUUUGCAGGAUCUGAGAUAGGUGUAUUAGGCGGUCCUACCGGUGUGUAUCCCCGUUAUCCUGAGGCCUAGUGGUGAGAUGCCUUUUCUUAGCCGUUGCGCAGCACCUAGUGUCUCUCUUUGUAUUUGUAUUCUUUCUAUUAUGUUCAGACAUUACUUGAAAUUUUAUAUAAUCUACUAGAUGCUCAUACACUUGUUACACCGGGAUUUGGCACAUACACUAGUAGAAUUGUGGUCUUGAGAC
rnacentral:lncRNA from 1 species